rnacentral:tRNA from 1 species
AGUCAAUAAGUUUUAGAGAAACUUGUACCUUGAAAGUACAGAACGGGGGUUAAACUCUCCCAUUGACUU